rnacentral:rRNA from 1 species
AGUGAACGCUGGCGGUAGGCCUAACACAUGCAAGUCGAACGGCAGCACAGUAAGAGCUUGCUCUUCCGGGUGGCGAGUGGCGGACGGGUGAGGAAUCCAUCGGAAUCUACUUUUUCGUGGGGGAUAACGUAGGGAAACUUCCGCUAAUACCGCAUACGACCUACGGGUGAAAGCAGGGGAUCUUCGGACCUUGCGCGAUUGAAUGAGCCGAUGUCGGAUUAGCUAGUUGGCGGGGUAACGGCCCACCAAGGCGACGAUCGGUAGCUGGUCUGAGAGGAUGAUCAGCCACACUGGAACUGAGACACGGUCCAGACUCCUACGGGAGGCAGCAGUGGGGAAUAUUGGACAAUGGGCGCAAGCCUGAUCCAGCCAUACCGCGUGGGUGAAGAAGGCCUUCGGGUUGUAAAGCCCUUUUGUUGGGAAAGAAAAGCAGCAGGUUAAUACCCCGCUGUUCUGACGGUACCCAAAGAAUAAGCACCGGCUAACUUCGUG